rnacentral:lncRNA from 1 species
GUUUUGGCGAGUUUGAACGUUUUUAAGCAUGUGUAAUGGCAUGAAUGCGUUAAGCUGUUGUUUUAUUGUUCUUUUGAUGAGUUUGGCUUGUUGUCAUGAACAUUGUUCGUUUUGGCCAUUUUGAAGUUUUUUUAGCAUGUGUAAUGGCAUGAAUGUGUUGAAUUACUAAUCCCUUGUGUUAAGCCGUUGUUUUAGUGUUCUUUUGAUGAGUUUGGCUUGUUGUUAUGAAAAGUGUUUGUUUUGGCGAGUUUGAACGUUUUUGAGCAUGUGUAAUGGCAUGAAUGUGUUGAAUUAGUAAUCCCUUAUGUGAAGCCGUUGUUUUAGUGUUCUUUUGAUGAGUUUGGCUUGUUGUUAUGAAAAGUGUUUGUUUUGGCGAAUUUGAACGUUUUUGAGCAUGUGUAAUGGCAUGAAUGCGUUAAGCUGUUGUUUUAGUGUUCUUUUGAUGAGUUUGGCUUGUUGUUAUGAUAAGUGUUUGUUUUGGCGAGUUUGAACGUUUUUGAGCAUGUGAAAUGGCAUGAAUGCGUUAAGCUGUUGUUUUAGUGUUCUUUUGAUGAGUUUGGCUUGUUGUUAUGAACAUUGUUCGUUUUGGCCAGUUUGAAGGUUAUUUAGAAUGUGUAAUGGCAUGAAUGCGUUAAGCUGUUUUUUUAGUGUUCUUUUGAUGAGUUUGGCUUGUUGUUAUGAAAAGUGUUUGUUUUGGCGAGUUUGAACGUUUUUGAGCAUUUGUAAUGGCAUGAAUGCGUUAAGCAGUUGUUUUAGUGUUCUUUUGAUGAGUUUGGCUUUUUGUUAUGAACAUUGUUCGUUUUGGCCAGUUUGAAGGUUUUUGAGCAUGUGUAAUGGCAUGAAUGUGUUCUAUUAGUAAUCCCUUGUGUUAAGCUGUUUUUUUAGUGUUCUUUUGAUGAGUUUGGCUUGUUGUUAUGAAAAGUGUUUGUUUUGGCGAGUUUGAACGUUUUUGAGCAUUUGUAAUGGCAUGAAUGCGUUAAGCAGUUGUUUUAGUGUUCUUUUGAUGAGUUUGGCUUUUUGUUAUGAACAUUGUUCGUUUUGGCCAGUUUGAAGGUUUUUGAGCAUGUGUAAUGGCAUGAAUGUGUUCUAUUAGUAAUCCCUUGUGUUAAGCUGUUGUUUUAGUGUUCUUUUGAUGAGUUUGGCUUGUUGUUAUGAAAAGUGUUUGUUUUGGCGAGUUUGAACGUUUUUGAGCAUGUGUAAUGGCAUGAAUGCGUUAAUCUGUUGUUCUAGUGUUCUUAUGAUGAGUUUUGCUUGUUGUUAUGAACAUUGUUCGUUUUGGCCAGUUUGAAGGUUUUUUAGUAUGUGUAAUGGCAUGAAUGUGUUGAAUUAGUAAUCCCUUGUGUUAAGCCGUUGUUUUAGUGUUCUUUUGAUGAGUUCUGCUUGUUUUUAUGAAAAGUGUUUGUUUUGGCGAUUUUGAACGUUUUUGAGCAUAUGUAAUGGCAUGAAUGCGUUAAGCUGUUGUUUUAGUGUUCUUAUGAUGAGUUUGGCUUGUUGUUAUGAACAUUGUUCGUUUUGGCCAGUUUGAAGGUUUUUGAGCAUGUGUAAUGGCAUGAAUGUGUUGAAUUAGUAAUCCCUUGUGUUAAACUGUUGUUUUAGUAUUCUUUUUAUGAGUUUGGCUUGUUGUUAUGAAAAGUGUUUGUUUUGGCGAGUUUGAACGUCUUUGAGCAUGUGUAAUGGCAUGAAUGCGUUAAGCUGUUGUUUUAGUGUUCUUUUGAUGAGUUUGGCUUGUUGUUAUGAAAAGUGUUUGUUUUGGCGAGUUUGAAUGUUUUGAGCAUGUGUAAUGGCAUGAAUGCGUUAAGCUGUUGUUUUAGUGUUCUUUUGAUGAGUUUGACUUGUUGUUAUGAACAUUGUUCGUUUUGGCCAAUUUGAAGGUUUUUUAGCAUGUGUAAUGGCAUGAAUGUGUUGAAUUAGUAAUCCCUUAUGUUAAGCCGUUGUUUUAGUGUUCUUUUGAUGAGUUUGGCUUGUUGAUAUAAAAAAUGUGUUUGUUUUGGCGAGUUUGAUCGUUUUUGAGCAUGUGUAAUGCCAUGAAUGCGUUAAGCUGUUGUUCUAGUGUUCUUUUGAUGAGUUUGGCUUGUUGUUAUGAAAAGUGUUUGUUUUGGCGAGUUUGAACGUUUUUGAGCAUGUGUAAUGGCAUGAAUGCCUUAAGUUGUUGUUUUAGUGUUCUUUUGAUGAGUCUGGCUUGUUGUUAUGAAAAGUGUUUGUUUUGGCGAGUUUGAACGUUUUUGAGCAUGUGUAAUGCCAUGAAUGCGUUAAGCUGUUGUUCUAGUGUUCUUUUGAUGAUUUUGGCAUGUUGUUAUGAACAUUGUUCGUUUUGGCCAGUUUGAAGGUUUUUUAGCAUGUGUAAUGGUAUGAAUGUGUUGAAUUAGUAAUCCGUUGUGUUAAGCCGUUGUUUUAGUGUUCUUUUGAUGAGUUUGGCUUGUUGUUAUGAAAAGUGUUGGUUUAGGCGAGUUUGAACGUUUUUGAGCAUGUGUAAUGGCAUGAAUGCAUUAAGCUGUUGUUUUAGUGUUCUUUUGAUGAGUUUGGCUUUUUGUUAUGAACAUUGUUCGUUUUGGCCAGUUUGAAGGUUUUUGAGCAUGUGUAAUGGCAUGAAUGUGUUCUAUUAGUAAUCCCUUGUGUUAAGCCGUUGUUUUAGUUUUCUUUUGAUGAGUUUGGCUUGUUGUUAUGAAAAGUGUUUGUUUUGGCGAGUUUGAAGGUAUUUUAGCAUGUGUAAUGUCAUAAAUGUGUUGAAUUAGAAAUCCCUUGUGUUAAGCCGUUGUUUUAGUGUUCUUUUGAUGAGUUUGGCUUGUUGUUAUGAAAAGUGUUUGUUUUGGCGAGUUUGAACGUUUUUGAGCAUGUGUAAUGGCAUGAAUGCGUUAAGCUGUUGUUUUAGUGUUCUUUUGAUGAGUUCGGCUUGUUGAUAUGAACAUUGUUCGUUUUGGCCAGUUUGAAGGUUUUUUAGCAUGUGUAAUGGUAUGAAUGUGUUGAAUUAGUAAUCCGUUGUGUUAAGCCGUUGUUUUAGUGUUCUUUUGAUGAGUUUGGCUUGUUGUUAUGAACAUUGGUCGUUUUGGCCAGUUUGAAGGUUUUUUAGCAUGUGUAAUGGCAUGAAUGCAUUAAGCUGUUGUUUUAUUGUUCUUUUGAUGAGUUUGGCUUUUUGUUAUGAACAUUAUUCGUUUUGGCCAGUUUGAAGGUUUUUGAGCAUGUGUAAUGGCAGGAAUGUGUUCUAUUAGUAAUCCCUUGUGUUAAGCCGUUGUUUUAGUGUUCUUUUGAUGAGUUUGGCUUGUUGUUAUGAAAAGUGUUGGUUUAGGCGAGUUUGAACGUUUUUAAGCAUGUGUAAUGGCAUGAAUGCGUUAAGCUGUUGUUUUAGUGUUCUUUUGAUGAGUUUGGCUUGUUGUUAUGAAAAGUGUUUGUUUUGGCGAGUUUGAAGGUAUUUUAGCAUGUGUAAUGUCAUAAAUGUGUUGAAUUAGUAAUCCCUUGUGUUAAGCCGUUGUUUUAGUGUUCUUUUGAUGAGUUUGGCUUGUUGUUAUGAAAAGUGUUUGUUUUGGCGAGUUUGAACGUUUUUGAGCAUGUGUAAUGGCAUGAAUGCGUUAAGAUGUUGUUUUAGUGUUCUUUUGAUGAGUUCGGCUUGUUGAUAUGAACAUUGUUCGUUUUGGCCAGUUUGAAGGUUUUUUAGCAUGUGUAAUGGUAUGAAUGUGUUGAAUUAGUAAUCCGUUGUGUUAAGCCGUUGUUUUAGUGUUCUUUUGAUGAGUUUGGCUUGUUGUUAUGAACAUUGUUCGUUUUGGCCAGUUUGAAGGUUUUUUAGCAUGUGUAAUGGCAUGAACGCAUUAAGCUGUUGUUUUAGUGUUCUUUUGAUGAGUUUGGCUUUUUGUUAUGAACAUUGUUCGUUUUGGCCAGUUUGAAGGUUUUUGAGCAUGUGUAAUGGCAUGAAAGUGUUGAAUUAGUAAUCCCUUGUGUUAAGCUGUUGUUUUGGUGUUCUUUUGAUGAGUUUGGCUUGUUGUUAUGAAAAGUGUUUGUUUUGGCGAGUUUGAACGUUUUUGAGCAUGUGUAAUGCCAUGAAUGCGUUAAGCUGUUGUUUUAGUGUUCUUUUGAUGAGUUCGGCUUGUUGAUAUGAACAUUGUUCGUUUUGGCCAGUUUGAAGGUUUUUUAGCAUGUGUAAUGGUAUGAAUGUGUUGAAUUAGUAAUCCGUUGUGUUAAGCCGUUGUUUUAGUGUUCUUUUGAUGAGUUUGGCUUGUUGUUAUGAAAAGUGUUGGUUUAGGCGAGUUUGAACGUUUUUGAGCAUGUGUAAUGGCAUGAAUGCAUUAAGCUGCUGUUUUAGUGUUCUUUUGAUGAGUUUGGCUUUUUGUUAUGAACAUUGUUCGUUUUGGCCAGUUUGAAGGUUUUUGAGCAUGUGUAAUGGCAUGAAUGUGUUCUAUUAGUAAUCCCUUGUGUUAAGCCGUUGUUUUAGUGUUCUUUUGAUGAGUUUGGCUUGUUGUUAUGAAAAGUGUUUGUUUUGGCGAGUUUGAAGGUAUUUUAGCAUGUGUAAUGUCAUAAAUGUGUUGAAUUAGAAAUCCCUUGUGUUAAGCCGUUGUUUUAGUGUUCUUUUGAUGAGUUUGGCUUGUUGUUAUGAAAAGUGUUUGUUUUGGCGAGUUUGAACGUUUUUGAGCAUGUGUAAUGGCAUGAAUGCGUUAAGCUGUUGUUUUAGUGUUCUUUUGAUGAGUUCGGCUUGUUGAUAUGAACAUUGUUCGUUUUGGCCAGUUUGAAGGUUUUUUUAGCAUGUGUAAUGGUAUGAAUGUGUUGAAUUAGUAAUCCGUUGUGUUAAGCCGUUGUUUUAGUGUUCUUUUGAUGAGUUUGGCUUGUUGUUAUGAACAUUGUUCGUUUUGGCCAGUUUGAAGGUUUUUUAGCAUGUGUAAUGGCAUGAAUGCAUUAAGCUGUUGUUUUAUUGUUCUUUUGAUGAGUUUGGCUUUUUGUUAUGAACAUUAUUCGUUUUGGCCAGUUUGAAGGUUUUUGAGCAUGUGUAAUGGCAGGAAUGUGUUCUAUUAGUAAUCCCUUGUGUUAAGCCGUUGUUAUAGUGUUCUUUUGAUGAGUUUGGCUUGUUGUUAUGAAAAGUGUUGGUUUAGGCGAGUUUGAACGUUUUUAAGCAUGUGUAAUGGCAUGAAUGCGUUAAGCUGUUGUUUUAGUGUUCUUUUGAUGAGUUUGGCUUGUUGUUAUGAAAAGUGUUUGUUUUGGCGAGUUUGAAGGUAUUUUAGCAUGUGUAAUGUCAUAAAUGUGUUGAAUUAGUAAUCCCUUGUGUUAAGCCGUUGUUUUAGUGUUCUUUUGAUGAGUUUGGCUUGUUGUUAUGAAAAGUGUUUGUUUUGGCGAGUUUGAACGUUUUUGAGCAUGUGUAAUGGCAUGAAUGCGUUAAGCUGUUGUUUUAGUGUUCUUUUGAUGAGUUCGGCUUGUUGAUAUGAACAUUGUUCGUUUUGGCCAGUUUGAAGGUUUUUUAGCAUGUGUAUUGGUAUGAAUGUGUUGAAUUAGUAAUCCGUUGUGUUAAGCCGUUGUUUUAGUGUUCUUUUGAUGAGUUUGGCUUGUUGUUAUGAACAUUGUUCGUUUUGGCCAGUUUGAAGGUUUUUUAGCAUGUGUAAUGGCAUGAAUGCAUUAAGCUGUUGUUUUAUUGUUCUUUUGAUGAGUUUGGCUUUUUGUUAUGAACAUUAUUCGUUUUGGCCAGUUUGAAGGUUUUUGAGCAUGUGUAAUGGCAGGAAUGUGUUCUAUUAGUAAUCCCUUGUGUUAAGCCGUUGUUUUAGUGUUCUUUUGAUGAGUUUGGCUUGUUGUUAUGAAAAGUGUUGGUUUAGGCGAGUUUGAACGUUUUUAAGCAUGUGUAAUGCCAUGAAUGCGUUAAGCUGUUGUUUUAGUGUUCUUUUGAUGAGUUUGGCUUGUUGUUAUGAAAAGUGUUUGUUUUGGCGAGUUUGAAGGUAUUUUAGCAUGUAUAAUGUCAUAAAUGUGUUGAAUUAGUAAUCCCUUGUGUUAAGCCGUUGUUUUAGUGUUCUUUUGAUGAGUUUGGCUUGUUGUUAUGAAAAGUGUUUGUUUUGGCGAGUUUGAACGUUUUUGAGCAUGUGUAAUGGCAUGAAUGCGUUAAGCUGUUGUUUUAGUGUUCUUUUGAUGAGUUCGGCUUGUUGAUAUGAACAUUGUUCGUUUUGGCCAGUUUGAAGGUUUUUUAGCAUGUGUAUUGGUAUGAAUGUGUUGAAUUAGUAAUCCGUUGUGUUAAGCCGUUGUUUUAGUGUUCUUUUGAUGAGUUUGGCUUGUUGUUAUGAACAUUGUUCGUUUUGGCCAGUUUGAAGGUUUUUUAGCAUGUGUAAUGGCAUGAAUGCAUUAAGCUGUUGUUUUAGUGUUCUUUUGAUGAGUUUGGCUUUUUGUUAUGAACAUUGUUCGUUUUGGCCAGUUUGAAGGUUUUUGAGCAUGUGUAAUGGCAUGAAUGUGUUGAAUUAGUAAUCCCUUGUGUUAAACUGUUGUUUUAGUAUUCUUUUUAUGAGUUUGGCUUGUUGUUAUGAAAAGUGUUUGUUUUGGCGAGUUUGAACGUUUGUGAGCAUGUGUAAUGGCAUGAAUGGGUUAAGCUGUUGUUUUAGUGUUCUUUUGAUGAGUUUGGCUUGUUGUUAUGAAAAGUGUUUGUUUUGGCGAGUUUGAAGGUUUUUGAGCAUGUGUAAUGGCACGAAUGCGUUAAGCUGUUGUUUUAGUGUUCUUUUGAUGAGUUUGGCUUGUUGCUAUGAACAUUGUUCGUUAUGGCCAGUUUGAAGGUUUUUGAGCAUGUGUAAUGGCAUGAAUGUGUUGAAUUAGUAAUCCCUGGUGUUAAACUGUUGUUUUAGUAUUCUUUUUAUGAGUUUGGCUUGUUGUUAUGAAAAGUGUUUGUUUUGGCGAGUUUGAACGUUUGUGAGCAUGUGUAAUGGCAUGAAUGGGUUAAGCUGUUGUUUUAGUGUUCUUUUGAUGAGUUUGGCUUGUUGUUAUGAAAAGUGUUUGUUUUGGCGAGUUUGAAGGUUUUUGAGCAUGUGUAAUGGCAUGAAUGCGUUAAGCUGUUUUUUUAGUGUUCUUUUGAUGAGUUUGGCUUGUUGUUAUGAAAAGUGUUUGUUUCUGCGAGUUUGAACGUUUUUGAGCAUUUGUAAUGGCAUGAAUGCGUUAAGCUGUUGUUUUAGUGUUCUUUUGAUGAGUUUGGCUUGUUGUUAUGAACAUUGUUCGCUUUGGCCAGUUUGAAGGUUAUUUAGAAUGUGUAAUGGCAUGAAUGCGUUAAGCUGUUGUUUUAGUGUUCUUUUGAUGAGUUUGGCUUGUUGUUAUGAAAAGUGUUUGUUUUGGCGAGUUUGAACGUUUUUGAGCAUUUGUAAUGGCAUGAAUGCGUUAAUCUGUUGUUCUAGUGUUCUUAUGAUGAGUUUUGCUUGUUGUUAUGAACAUUGUUCGUUUUGGCCAGUUUGAAGGUUUUUUAGUAUGUGUAAUGGCAUGAAUGUGUUAAGCUGUUUUUUUAGUGUUCUUUUGAUGAGUUUGGCUUGUUGUUAUGAAAAGUGUUUGUUUUGGCGAGUUUGAACGUUUUUGAGCAUUUGUAAUGGCAUGAAUGCGUUAAUCUGUUGUUCUAGUGUUCUUAUGAUGAGUUUUGCUUGUUGUUAUGAACAUUGUUCGUUUUGGCCAGUUUGAAGGUUUUUUAGUAUGUGUAAUGGCAUGAAUGUGUUCAAUUAGUAAUCCCUUGUGUUAAGCUGUUGUUUUAGUGUUCUUUUGAUGAGUUUGGCUUGUUGUUAUGAAAAGCGUUUGUUUUGGCGAGUUUGAACGUUUUUGAGCAUGUGUAAUGGCAUGAAUGCGUUAAUCUGUUGUUCUAGUGUUCUUAUGAUGAGUUUUGCUUGUUGUUAUGAACAUUGUUCGUUUUGGCCAGUUUGAAGGUUUUUUAGUAUGUGUAAUGGCAUGAAUGUGUUGAAUUAGUAAUCCCUUGUGUUAAGCCGUUGUUUUAGUGUUCUUUUGAUGAGUUCUGCUUGUUUUUAUGAAAAGUGUUUGUUUUGGCGAUUUUGAACGUUUUUGAGCAUAUGUAAUGGCAUGAAUGCGUUAAGCUGUUGUUUUAGUGUUCUUAUGAUGAGUUUGGCUUGUUGUUAUGAACAUUGUUCGUUUUGGCCAGUUUGAAGGUUUUUGAGCAUGUGUAAUGGCAUGAAUGUGUUGAAUUAGUAAUCCCUUGUGUUAAACUGUUGUUUUAGUAUUCUUUUUAUGAGUUUGGCUUGUUGUUAUGAAAAGUGUUUGUUUUGGCGAGUUUGAACGUCUUUGAGCAUGUGUAAUGCCAUGAAUGCGUUAAAGCUGUUGUUUUAGUGUUCUUUUGAUGAGUUUGGCUUGUUGUUAUGAAAAGUGUUUGUUUUGGCGAGUUUGAAUGUUUUGAGCAUGUGUAAUGGCAUGAAUGCGUUAAGCUGUUGUUUUAGUGUUCUUUUGAUGAGUUUGACUUGUUGUUAUGAACAUUGUUCGUUUUGGCCAAUUUGAAGGUUUUUUAGCAUGUGUAAUGGCAUGAAUGUGUUGAAUUAGUAAUCCCUUAUGUUAAGCCGUUGUUUUAGUGUUCUUUUGAUGAGUUUGGCUUGUUGUUAUAAAAAAUGUGUUUGUUUUGGCGAGUUUGAUCGUUUUUGAGCAUGUGUAAUGCCAUGAAUGCGUUAAGCUGUUGUUCUAGUGUUCUUAUGAUGAGUUUGGCUUGUUGUUAUGAAAAGUGUUUGUUUUGGCGAGUUUGAACGUUUUUGAGCAUGUGUAAUGGCAUGAAUGCGUUAAGCUGUUUUUUCAGUGUUCUUUUGAUGAGUUUGGCUUGUUGUUAUGAACAUUGUUCGUUUUGGCCAGUUUGAAGGUUUUUUAGAAUGUGUAAUGGUAUGAAUGUGUUGAAUUAGUGUUAAGCCGUUGUUUUAGUGUUCUUUUGAUGAGUUUGGCUUGUUGUUAUGAAAAGUGUUUGUUUUGGCGAGUUUGAACGUUUUUGAGCAUAUGUAAUGCCAUGAAUGCGUUAAGCUGUUGUUUUAGUGUUCUUUUGAUGAGUUUGGCUUAUUGUUAUGAACAUUGUUCGUUUUUGCCAGUUUGGAGGUUUUUUAGCAUGUGUAAUGGCAUGAAUGUGUUGAAUUAGUAAUCCCUUGUGUUAAGCCGUUGUUUUAGUGUUCUUUUGAUGAGUUUGGCUUGUUGUUAUGAAAAGUGUUUGUUUUGGCGAGUUUGAACGUUUUUGAGCAUGUGUAAUGCCAUGAAUGCGUUAAGCUGUUGUUUUAGUGUUCUUUUGAUGAGUUUGGCUUAUUGUUAUGAACAUUGUUCGUUUUUGCCAGUUUGAAGGUUUUUUAGCAUGUGUAAUGGCAUGAAUGUGUUGAAUUAGUAAUCCCUUGUGUAAAGCUGUUGUUUUAGUGUUCUUUUGAUGAGUUUGGCUUGUUGUUAUGAAAAGUGUUUGUUUUGGCGAGUUUGAACGUUUUUGAGCAUGUGUAAUGGCAUGAAUGCGUUAACCUGUUGUUUUAGUGUUCUUUUUAUGAGUUUUGCUUGUUGUUAUGAACAUUGUUCGUUUUGGCCAGUUUGAAGGUUAUCGAUAUCCAUUAUGUUUUUGUUCGUGUUAAGGCUCAACUCCAGUGUCACUAAUUCCACAGGUUUUGGAGACGUACCAGAGCAGGGCUUUCAUUUAGAAAUGUUGUAGAGAACGCAGUCGUGCCAUUUUCAGUUGGAUCCAAGAUAAGUGUCUGUUAGUCCAUUGGUCUGAGUCACUCAAAGGAGCAGGGGUUUCAUUUUGAAAUUAUGAAGGGGGUUCUAUGUAGCUAUUUCUUGAAGGACCUCAAUUUUGACAUUGAACCCAUUUUUGUUUGUCUUGAGGUCAAACAUAAGUGACAUCAAUUCCAAAGGUUUCGGUCAAACAUAGGAGCGGGGCUUACAUUUUUUUUUUAAUUUGAAGGUGGCACUCUGGAGCUAUUUGAAGUUGAUUCUCCAUUUUGAUGCUGGAGCCCUUUAUGUUCAACUUUCGGUUUGUCAUAAUUGUUCUUUAUUUCAAAAGUUUGGUUCGUACACAGUAAAAGGGCUUUCAUUUUUUGGUAGGGGGCAAUAUGUGACCAUUGAUGGUUGGUUCUCCAUUUUGACAUUUUCUUCAUCACAGGGUGAUGAGAUUCAUUUGCAAUAAUGGAAUAACAGCACCAACAGCACCACAGUCUCUUUAUUUAGGGUUGUCCCUGGUUACACAAUGGUACUAAAGGAUGGGGGAAAAAUAUGUGCAGCAAUGUUAGCAUUCUCAUAAAACAUAAUUAUGAACAACAGAACAUAUGUGAGGGUCAAGGCAACACUGUUGACAUUAAACAAGCUCCUUCUGAUAGGAGCGGAUCCUCCUCAUUACUUCCCACGAUUCACAGUGGAGGAUACAUCACACACACACCUGCUAAUAGGAGAAACAAGGUCACAGAGAAGAUAAGAAACAUUUAUGUGCUGAGUAAUAAAGCUAUUGGAGAGAGAAGUUAGAAAACACUCUUAUACACUGUGUGCACAAUUAUUAGGCAAGUGAGUAUUUUGAUCAUAUCAUCAUUUUUAUGCAUAUUUUCCAACUCUAAGCUGUAUAAACUUGAAUGCUUAUUGGAUAUAAGCAUAUCAGGUAAUGUGUAUUGAGGGAGGCUGGGGCCUAAGGAGAUCAAAACCCUAUAUCAAGGUGUGCAUAAUUAUUAGGCAGCUUCUUUUCCUCAGGUAAAAUGGGCCAAAAAAGAGGUUUAAGUGACUCUGAAAAGUCAAAAAAUAUAAAAAGUCUUUCAGAGGGAUGCAGCACUCUUGAAAUUUCUUAGAUAUUUGGGCGUGAUCACAGAACCAUCAAACAUUUUGAUGCAAAUAGUCAACAGGGUCGCAAGAAAUGUGUUAAGAAAAAAAGACGCGAAUUAACUGCCAAAGAUUUGAGAAGACUCAAACGUAAAGCUACCAGGAACCCAAUAUCCUCCAGUGCUGUCAUAUUCCAGAACUGCAACCUACCUGGAGUGCCCAGAAGUACAAGGUGUUCAGUGCUCAGAGACAUGGCCAAGGUAAGGAAGGCUGAAAUCUGACCACCACUGAACAAGACACAAGUCGAAACGUCAAGACUGGGCCAAGAAAUAUCUGAAGAGAGACUUUUCAAAGGUUUUAUGGACUGAUGGGAUGAGAGUGACUCUUGAUGGACCAGAUGGAUGGACCCGUGGCUGGAUCAGUAAUGGGCACAGGGCUCCACUUCGAAUCAGACACCAGCAAGGUGGAGGCUGGGUACUGGUAUGGGCUGGUAUUAUUAAAGAUGAGCUAGCUGGACCUUUUCGAGAUGAAGAUGGACUUAAAAUCAACUCCCAAAUCCAAUGCCA